UAAAAUGUAAAUAGGAAAGAGAUCCAAGGUGGCUGAUUACUAGCAGCUCAGGACUGUAGCUCCCAAUGAAAGCGCAGAGAAGGAGAGGACGCCACAUUUUCAGACAAAUUUUUGUUGCUUAUGGACCAGGAGAUUCCCAGCGGAGGAGCCCCAUGGGUCACCAGUGC